rnacentral:rRNA from 1 species
CCACAUCCAAGGAAGGCAGCAGGCGCGCAAAUUACCCACUCCCGGCACGGGGAGGUAGUGACGAAAAAUAACAAUACGGGACUCUUUUGAGGCCCCGUAAUUGAAAUGAGUACACUCUAAAUCCUUGUACGAGGAUCAAUUGGAGGGCAAGUCUGGUGCCAGCAGCCGCGGUAAUUCCAGCUCCAAUAGCGUAUACUAAAGUUGUUGCGGUUGAAAAGCUCGUAGUUGGAUCUCAGUUCCAGACGGGAAGUGCAUCGAACCGAUGCUACCGCCCGGACUGAACAUCAUGCCGGCUGUUUCUUGGUCCUCUUUAUUGGGUGCCUUGAGGCGGUCGGUGCAUUUACUUUGAAAAAAUUAGAGUGCUCAACGCAGGCGCAUCGCCUGAAUACCGUUGCAUGGAAUAAUAGAGCAAGACCUCGUGUCUGUUCUGUUGGUUUUUGGAAAACGAGGUAAUGAUUAAGAGGGACAGACGGGGGCAUUCGUAUUGCGGCGCUAGAGGUGAAAUUCUUGGACCGUCGCAAGACGAACUACUGCGAAAGCAUUUGCCAAGAAUGUUUUCAUUGAUCAAGAACGAAAGUUAGAGGUUCGAAGGCGAUCAGAUACCGCCCUAGUUCUAACCAUAAACGAUGCCAACCAGCAAUCCGCCAGAGUUCCUCAAAUGACUCGGCGGGCAGCUUCCGGGAAACCAAAGUAUUUGGGUUCCGGGGGAAGUAUGGUUGCAAAGCUGAAACUUAAAGGAAUUGACGGAAGGGCACCACCAGGAGUGGAGCCUGCGGCUUAAUUUGACUCAACACGGGAAAACUUACCCGGCCCGGACACUGGGAGGAUUGACAGAUUGAGAGCUCUUUCUUGAUUCGGUGGAUGGUGGUGCAUGGCCGUUCUUAGUUGGUGGAGCGAUUUGUCUGGUUAAUUCCGAUAACGAACGAGACUCUAGCCUAUUAAAUAGGUGCGAGGUCCAUUGUGCCUUGCAACCUUCUUAGAGGGACAAGCGGCCUUCUAGCCGCACGAAACAGAGCAAUAACAGGUCUGUGAUGCCCUUAGAUGUCCGGGGCCGCACGCGCGCUACACUGAAGGAUACAGCGUGUGCAUACCCCUCUCCGAAAGGAAUGGGUAACCCGUUGAACCUCCUUCGUGAUUGGGAUAGGGGCUUGAAAUUGUUCCCCUUGAACGAGGAAUUCCCAGUAAGCGCGAGUCAUAAGCUUGCGUUGAUUACGUCCCUGCCCUUUGUACACACCGCCCGUCGCUACUACCGAUUGAAUGAUUUAGUGAGGUCUUCAGACCGAAACCCGGAGAGGCCCUUUGGGUUGCGCCGGCGUGACGGAAAGAUGACCAAACUUGAUCAUUUAGAGGAAGUAAAAGUCGUAACAAGGUUUCCGUA